ACAUUGGUGGUUCGGUGGUAGAAUUUUGCCUUCCAUGUGGGAGGCCCAGUUUCAAUUCCUGGCCAAUGCA
rnacentral:tRNA from 1 species